rnacentral:rRNA from 1 species
UACGUAGGGGGCUAGCGUUAUCCGGAAUUACUGGGCGUAAAGGGUGCGUAGGUGGUUUCUUAAGUCAGAGGUGAAAGGCUACGGCUCAACCGUAGUAAGCCUUUGAAACUGGGGAACUUGAGUGCAGGAGAGGAGAGUGGAAUUCCUAGUGUAGCGGUGAAAUGCGUAGAUAUUAGGAGGAACACCAGUUGCGAAGGCGACUCUCUGGACUGUAACUGACACUGAGGCACGAAAGCGUGGGGAGCAAACAGG